rfam:Omnitrophica WOR_2 bacterium RIFOXYA2_FTLL_38_17 rifoxya2_full_scaffold_95, whole genome shotgun sequence.
GCUGGCGUAGCUCAGUUGGUAGAGCAACGGUUUCGUAAAUCGUAGGCCACCAGUUCGAUCCUGGUCGCCAGCU